AUAUGUCACCCGACAUUGUCGAUCGGUGACAUAAUAAUAAUAAUAAUAAUAAUAGGGAAAAAGAAACAUAGGAAAAGCAAUAUGUCACCCGACAUUGUCGAUCGGUGACAUAAUAAUAAUAAUAAUAGGGAAAAAGAAACAUAGGAAAAGCAAUAUGUCACCCGACAUUGUCGAUCGGUUACAUAAUAAUAAUAAUAAUAGGGAAAAAGAAACAUAGGAAAAGCAAUAUGUCACCCGACAUUGUCGAUCGGUGACAUAAUAAAAUAAUAUAAUAAUAAUAAUAAUAAUAAUAAUAAUAAUAAUAGGGAAAAAGAAACAUAGGGAAAAGCAAUAUGUCACCCGACUUGUCGAUCAGGUGACAUAUAUAAUAAUAAUAAUAUAGGGAAAAGAAACAUAGGAAAAGCAAUAUGUCACCCGACACUGUCGAUCGCUGACAUAAUAAUAAUAAUAAUAAUAAUAAUAAUAAUAGGGAAAAAGAAACAUAGGAAAAGCAAUAUGUCAUCCGACAUUGUCGAUCGGUGACAUAAUAAUAAUAAUAAUAGGAAAAAGAAACAUAGGAAAAGCAAUAUGUCACCCGACAUUGUCGAUCGGUGAAUAAUAAUAAUAAAUAAUAGGGAAAAAGAAACAUAGGAAAAGCAAUAGUCACCCGACAUUGUCGAUCGGUGACAUAAUAAUAAUAAUAAUAGGGAAAAAGAAACAUAGGAAAAGCAAUGUGUCACCCGACAUUGUCGAUCGGUGACAUAAUAAUAAUAAUAAUAAUAAUAGGGGGAAAAAACAUAGGAAAAGCAAUAUGUCACCCGACAUUGUCGAUCAGGUGACAUAAUAAUAAAAAAACAUAGUGGCAGUCAAUUCUUGUCAAAAAUUAAUCUUAGGCUAAAAAGUUCAAAAUACUUUUAACUGCAGAUACGAGCGCACUGGAUCACGGAAUAUAGUGCAACAACUGCAUGGUACUUCUGAUCUGUACAAUAGGGCAAAUGUGCCCCCCAUUAUAAUUUUUCGGUCUGAUUAUAGAUUAAUUUGUCAGAAAUAACCCCAAAAUCGUUUUCUUCGUAGGACAUGUUUAAAUUACAAAUAAACUCCAGGCA
rnacentral:lncRNA from 1 species